rnacentral:pre_miRNA from 1 species
GAUCCUCCUUGUGAUUUUCCACAGCUUUCUUGAACUGUAAAGUGCCUUAAUUAUGAACUAGGAGAUUAACCUCCAUGCAGUUUCAACAGAGCAAGAACAGUCCGAGAAAGCUGUGAAAAAUAACAGGCAGGAUC